CUUUCACACACACUGAAUGGCAUUGUGGGCCGGAGUCUCAGGAGACCUCAUGGGUAGACUUACACUCAGGUCUCGUGUGAACAUGUCUUGUUAGGGACCGCGUUUCCAACAGAAGGGCAGCCAGUGAGAACAGACAUUUUGAGGACGGGUGCUGUUUUAGGGGUGUGUGUGGAGAAGCCAGAGAAUACGCAGGAAGCUUGUGUCGACUUCGUGUUCAGCCUUCACUCUUCUCCUUGGGCCAAGGUGACUGAGCUCUGCCCAGACUUGCUGCAAUGCCCCACUCCCUCUGCUUAAUUCCUUGUAAAUAAAACAGAGCUCCCUCUUCCCUGCA
rnacentral:lncRNA from 12 species